ACAGCCCUUCUCCCCAGGUCUCUCACCUUUUUUUCCAAGGUUACCACCUCCCACCCUCCCCUCCAGGUACAGCAACUCACUGCUGACCCCACAAUUCUCUCCCACUGAAGCCAGAUAAUGCAGCCCAGUUUGACUAGGAUUCCAGGGCUGGCAACAGAGCCCUUCUUCAGUUGAUAAGGAACCCCCAUGUAGACCAAGUUACUCAUCUGUUACAUAUGUGGAGACAGGGAUGGGGAUGGGUGAAACUAGGUCCAGCCUAUGCUCCUUUGGUUGGUGGUUCAGCCUUAGGAACCUGCAAGGGUCCACUUUAGCUGACUCUGUUGGUCUUCUGUGGAGUCCCUAUUCUCGCUGGACCCCUCAUUCCUUCUUGCAAAUCUUUCACAAGUCUUGACUACUCAACCUACAUUGAAUGUUUGGCUGUGGUCUCUGCAUCUAUUUCAGUCAGCUGCUGGGUGUAGCCUCUCACUGUACGGUUAUGCUCUGUUCCUCAGACAUCUUGCUUGACCAGAACCAUUUGCGGAAGAUGCUGAUUAUUUUUCCCACUGUGUAUUUUAUCUUUGGCUUCUUUAUGAAAAAGAAGGAGGAAAAGGAAGAGGAGAGAAGGAGGAGAAGCAGGAGGAGAAGAAAAAGGAGAAGGAAAAGGAAAAGAAAGCAAAAAACAAACAAAACAAACAAACAAAGUGGAAGAAUGAAUGAAGAGACAAGAAAGUUUGGCCCAUUUACACGAUGGAGUAUUACUUAGCUUUUGAAAAAAUGAUAUGAAA